UGGGGAAUAUUGGACAAUGGGCGAAAGCCUGAUCCAGCCAUGCCGCGUGUGUGAAGAAGGUCUUCGGAUUGUAAAGCACUUUAAGUUGGGAGGAAGGGCAUUAACCUAAUACGUUAGUGUUUUGACGUUACCGACAGAAUAAGCACCGGCUAACUCUGUGCCAGCAGCCGCGGUAAUACAGAGGGUGCAAGCGUUAAUCGGAAUUACUGGGCGUAAAGCGCGCGUAGGUGGGUUGUUAAGUUGGAUGUGAAAUCCCCGGGCUCAACCUGGGAACUGCAUUCAAAACUGACUGACUAGAGUAUGGUAGAGGGUGGUGGAAUUUCCUGUGUAGCGGUGAAAUGCGUAGAUAUAGGAAGGAACACCAGUGGCGAAGGCGACCACCUGGACUAAUACUGACACUGAAGUGCGAAAGCGUGGGGAGCAAACA
rnacentral:rRNA from 1 species